ensembl:lncRNA
CUAACUCUGUCCCUUUACUCAGCUGCACCUAUUUAUUCAAUUUAAAUUGGAAGCCCAGCACCAUGGACCGGGACACCUGACUUACUAAUCUUCUGUGACUUUUGGGAGAGCAACAUGUGCUCGUGGGGCCACGACAGCUGAUUACUCCUGUUAUCAGGAUGAUCUUUAUUCUCAGUAAGGCCUUUGCAGAUGUGUGGUUCCAGCUUAUCGCAUCACUUUGAUAGGAGUCGCACUGUGCUCUUUUGACCCUUUGACCACUGUUCAUUAGAAAUUCAUUGCUAUGCUUCCCUCAAGAAAUGUAUACAUCUCCUCAGACAUGUUUCAACUCCAUAUAACACUAAAAUAUAUUUGAAAUCCCUUUUGCUCAUUCAAAAAAUACUGCAAAACUGUGCUUUUGCAUCGCCUCCCACCCAAGAAUGUCAGAACCCUUUACAGAUAUGAAUCCACACAGGAAAAGGAAAUGUCACAGUCACAAGAUGGGCAAUGAUGGAAAAGGUUUCAGGAACUGCCAUAUCUCACACAGCAGUGCCAUGACGGUAUACAGUACAUACUGCAUUAUAUUCUUUUUGAUGUCUACCCUUUGCCUUAACCACAGCAGCCCACAGGAGCACAUUCCUCUCUCCUUUCUGAGAAUUGAUUUAUCACCAUAAAGAUGGUUUAUUAUA